rnacentral:rRNA from 1 species
UACGAAGGGGGCUAGCGUUGCUCGGAAUUACUGGGCGUAAAGCGCGUGUAGGCUGCUUCGCAAGUCGGGUGUGAAAGCCCUGGGCUCAACCUAGGAAGUGCACUCGAAACUGCGAAGCUUGAGUCCUGGAGAGGAAGGCGGAAUUCUCGGUGUAGAGGUGAAAUUCGUAGAUAUCGAGAGGAACACCGGUGGCGAAGGCGGCCUUCUGGACAGUGACUGACGCUGAGACGCGAAAGCGUGGGGAGCAAACAGG